CCUUGUGUACUAGUAGUCAGCACAGCGGUUAAUAUGGUCAUAUCAGUCAGUGCCUGAACUUAUGUGAAAUUCUGUCUUUAGCUCACUUGAAAGUGCUGACAUGAUGCAAUUUGCAAAGUAAUGGCAACAUAGAUGAAGCUCGAACCAUUGAGGAGGCACGCUACGCUGUUUGCUAUUCGCGGUUUCAGAAAGGUGGCUGGGUAGUCCGCCCCAUCAAGGAGAAACCAUCUUACGGAUAUGCAACAAAUCUUAUGGUCUCUCUGGUAGAGGAAUACUCUAGAUCACCACAGGCCCUACAAGAAAGCAGUGCUGUCUUGUCUUGUGCUGCCCCGCCCCCCCUCACCACUUCCCUCCAGAAGGUUGCCAAGGAUGAGGCAGUCAGGCUCCAUCUCGCACGACACUCGCGUUUUAACGUGUAAUAAAACAUACGUGAAAGAAAUUGGGAGAAAACGGGUAUCGGUACUCUUUAGUUCGUUUAUUAGUUACAAUGGAACUGAGUUGAUGGUAUAGUGUAUGAUGACAACAUCAGUGAAUGAGAUGAUGAGAAUAUAUUUUUGGACUGUUUAUUAUGCUACCUUUCUUCUUUUUUAACGACUCCAGUGUGUGAGUGCAUUGAAUUUCCCCGUGCAAUGACAAAUAAAUCGAAUCUAAUCUAAUACAUUUUACCAGUACAGUUUUUCACUAUGAAUUUAGUCAUUGUCUUCCAAACGGGGCAAUUGGAAACCUUUACAUGCUCGUCUUUCUCUUGCAAACUUCCUCCUUUUUGCUGCAACAACACAUGAAGGUAUGGCUUUAGAGGUAGGAUCU
ensembl:lncRNA